GGUCAAGCUAUAAAGGGCUAACGGUGGAUACCUAGGUACACAGAGGCGAUGAAGGACGUAGUUACCGACGAUACGCUCCGGGGAGCUGGAAGCAAGCAUUGAGCCGGAGGUUUCCGAAUAGGGCAACCUUAUAUACGGUCACCUGAAUCUAUAGGGUGACGCGAGCCAACCGGGCGAACUGAAACAUCUUAGUAGCCCGAGGAAAAGAAAGCAAAAGCGAUUCCCCCAGUAGCGGCGAGCGAAAAGGGAACAGCCUAAACCUAAAACUGCGGUUUUAGGGGUUGUGGGACAGCAACAUGGACUGUAGCGGUUAGACGAAGCAGCUGAAUACUGCACCAAAGGAGGUGAAAGUCCUGUAGUCGAAAACUUAAACAGCCUAGCUGAAUCCCGAGUAGCACGGGGCACGUGGAAUCCCGUGUGAAUCAGCGAAGACCACUUCGUAAGGCUAAAUACUCCUGUGUAACCGAUAGUGAAACAGUACCGCGAGGGAAAGGUGAAAAGAACCCCAGUAAGGGGAGUGAAAUAGAACAUGAAACCGUUAGCCUACAAGCAAUGGAAGGACGAUUUAACGUCUGACCGUGUGCCUGUUGAAGAAUGAGCCGGCGACUAACAGGCUGUGGCAGGUUAAGAGCGAAAACUCGAAGCCAAAGUGAAAGCGAGUCCGAACAGGGCCGAUAGUCACAGUUUGUUGACCCGAACCCGGGUGAUCUAACCAUGGCCAGGAUGAAGCUU
rnacentral:rRNA from 1 species